GACGAACGCUGGCGGCGUGCCUAAUACAUGCAAGUAGGACGCACAGUCUAUACCGUAGCUUGCUACACCAUAGGCUGUGAGUUGCGAACGGGUGAGUAACGCGUAGGUAACCUGCCUAUUAGAGGGGGAUAACUAUUGGAAACGAUAGCUAAUACCGCAUAACAGUAUGUAACACAUGUUAGAUGCUUGAAAGAUGCAAUUGCAUCGCUAGUAGAUGGACCUGCGUUGUAUUAGCUAGUAGGUAGGGUAAUGGCCUACCUAGGCGACGAUACAUAGCCGACCUGGGAGGGUGAUCGGCCACACUGGGACUGAGACACGGCCCAGACUCCUACGGGAGGCAGCAGUAGGGAAUCUUCGGCAAUGGGGGGAACCCUGACCGAGCAACGCCGCGUGAGUGAAGAAGGUUUUCGGAUCGUAAAGCUCUGUUGUUAAGGAAGAACGAGUGUGAGAAUGGAAAGUUCAUACUGUGACGGUACUUAACCAGAAAGGGACGGCUAACUACGUG
rnacentral:rRNA from 1 species